rnacentral:rRNA from 1 species
UACGUAGGGUGCAAGCGUUGUCCGGAAUCAUUGGGCGUAAAGCGCGCGUAGGUGGUCAUGUAAGUCCGCUGUGAAAGUCAAAGGCUCAACCUUUGAAAGCCGGUGGAUACUGCAUGACUAGAGUACGGAAGAGGCGAGUGGAAAUUCCUGGUGUAGCGGUGGAAUGCGCAGAUAUCAGGAGGAACACCAAUAGCGAAGGCAGCUCGCUGGGGACGUUACUGACACUGAGGCG